GAACUUAAGCAUAUCAAUAAGCGGAGGAAAAGAAACCAACAGGGAUUGCCUCAGUAACGGCGAGUGAAGCGGCAACAGCUCAAAUUUGAAAUCUGGCCGCAAGGUCCGAGUUGUAAUUUGUAGAGGAUGCUUUUGGCGAGGUGCCUUCCGAGUUCCCUGGAACGGGACGCCAUAGAGGGCGAGAGCCCCGUACGGUAGGACCACCAAGCCUCUGUAAAGCUCCUUCGACGAGUCGAGUAGUUUGGGAAUGCUGCUCUAAAUGGGAGGUGUACGUCUUCUAAAGCUAAAUACCGGCCAGAGACCGAUAGCGCACAAGUAGAGUGAUCGAAAGAUGAAAAGCACUUUGAAAAGAGGGUUAAAAAGUACGUGAAAUUGUUGAAAGGGAAGCAUUCAUGACCAGACUUGGGCUUGGUUGAACAUCCGGCGUUCUCGCCGGUGCACUCUGCCAGUCCAGGCCAGCAUCAGUUUGCCCCGGGGGAUAAAGGCGGCGGGAAUGUGGCUCCCUUCGGGGAGUGUUAUAGCCCGUCGUGUAAUGCCCUGGGGCGGACUGAGGAACGCGCUUCGGCACGGAUGCUGGCGUAAUGGUCAUCAAUGACCCGUCUUGAAACACGGACCAAGGAGUCGUCUUCGUAUGCGAGUGUUCGGGUGUCAAACCCCUACGCGUAAUGAAAGUGAACGUAGGUGAGAGCUUCGGCGCAUCACCGACCGAUCCUGAUGUUCUCGGAUGGAUUUGAGUAAGAGCAUACGGGGCCGGACCCGAAA
rnacentral:rRNA from 1 species